GACGUAGGGCGCGAGCGUUGUCCGGAUUUAUUGGGCGUAAAGAGCUCGUAGGCGGCUCGUCACGUCGGCUGUGAAAACCCGGGGCUCAACCCCGGGCCUGCAGUCGAUACGGGCGAGCUAGAGUUCGGCAGGGGAGACUGGAAUUCCUGGUGUAGCGGUGAAAUGCGCAGAUAUCAGGAGGAACACCGGUGGCGAAGGCGGGUCUCUGGGCCGAUACUGACGCUGAGGAGCGAAAGCGUGGGGGAGCGAACAGG
rnacentral:rRNA from 1 species